UUCAAAUUAUUUACUUCUGCCUUGUAGAGGUACAGAGAGCGGAGGCGCAGAAAAAGCUGUCAGAUACAGAUUGACAAAGCCGCAGCCCCCUUUAGCUUGGCAGCGCCUUUACAGUGAGACUUUUAAAACAAAGGUAAUUGCACACUGUGCUAGCAGUUAUACAAUAAUGAGCAAGUACAAAAGGAAACAAAACAAGAUUCUGCAAUAUUUAGACAAAAUUCGCAAAAAAGAAAACAGCACCUACAUUGUAACAUACAUAGCCCCCAAGGUACUGUUCGACGCAUUGAAGUGGUCAAAAUUAUUGUAUACAUAUGCUAUAUACAUAUUCGUAUAGAGCUACCAAUCCCUGCAAAAUAUAGAACGCAGAUUUUCAUUACACACACGCGCGUGCACAACACAUGCACACACCAAAAAGAAACAGCGGCGCGCUCAUAGGCGGCGCCUGAAAAAAAAAAAGGUAGAAAAAAAGGAAAAGUGUGGGGAACUGCGGUAGUCUUGCGCCAUCGCAUCUCCCUCUCCCGAAAGGAAUGAAGAGGUUCUUGGAAAGCAGGGACGGGGCGAUCCUCUCCGUCAGCACCAGCUCCCACCAGCGAGGAUGGGGCGAGAAACCGAAGCGGGGCUUUCUUUGAUAUCUAUUUUUCUUCGUCAGGCGCAACACCACAUGCUCGCAGGGGCGCAGGCGGGCCGGCAGGGGCGCGAGUUCCCGCCAAAUGCUAGCUCAGGAUGCCAGCUCGUUUCACGUCUUUUAGUAGACUAGUUGGUGCAUUUCUGUUAUCAUGGAAUGCGCAUAUCAAUGCAAACUACACAAAGUGGCAUGGAGAAGAACAGCGCAAGCCCUUUCAAUUCAAGAUAUGCGUUCAACAUAUGCGUACUCGAAGAAAAGAAGAGCUUUUGAUGAGAACAGAUCAAGCGUUAGAGAGUUGGGACAGGGAAAUGUGAGCCGUACUUUCAUGUAUAUAUUUCUAAUAUUUUUUCAUCUUGUAAGCGUGACAUCUUUUUUUUUAUUUUUCUUUAGGAAACACUGGAACGACACUGCUUAAAUUCGAGCAUAGAGUGGGAAUGACCUGCUACGCCCAGAUCUGUUAUCAUCAUAUGGGAAGUAAUCAGGUAA